UAGGGAAUAUUGCGCAAUGGAGGAAACUCUGACGCAGCGACGCCGCGUGGGCGAUGAAGGCUUUCGGGUCGUAAAGCCCUGUCGGAAGAGAAGAAAAAUAUUGUGGCUAAUAUCCACAGUACUUGACGGUAUCUUCAGAGGAAGCACCGGCUAACUACGUGCCAGCAGCCGCGGUAAUACGUAGGGUGCAAGCGUUGUUCGGAAUCAUUGGGCGUAAAGCGCGUGUAGGUGGUCAUCUAAGUCGGGUGUGAAAUCCCUGGGCUCAACCUAGGAAGUGCAUCCGAAACUAGUUGACUAGAAGACAGUAGAGGAAGGUGGAAUUCCAAGUGUAGAGGUGAAAUUCGUAGAUAUUUGGAGGAAUACCGGCGGCGAAGGCGGCCUUCUGGGCUGUUCUUGACACUGAGACGCGAAAGCGUGGGUAGCAAACAGGAUUAGAUACCCGGGUAGUCC
rnacentral:rRNA from 1 species